GACGUAGGGCGCGAGCGUUGUCCGGAUUUAUUGGGCGUAAAGAGCUCGUAGGCGGCUGUCCACGUCGGAUGUGAAAGCUCGGGGCUCAACCCUGAGAGGCCAUUCGAUACGGGACGGCUAGAGGUAGGUAGGGGAGAUUGGAAUUCCUGGUGUAGCGGUGAAAUGCGCAGAUAUCAGGAGGAACACCGGUGGCGAAGGCGGAUCUCUGGGCCUUACCUGACGCUGAGGAGCGAAAGCUGGGGGAGCAAACAGG
rnacentral:rRNA from 1 species